rnacentral:lncRNA from 1 species
GAGCGGAGGCGAGGGGUGAACGCGGAGCACUCCAAUCGCUCCCAACUAGAGGUCCACCCAGGACCCAGAGACCUGGAUUUGAGGCUGCUGGGCGGCAGAUGGAGCGAUCAGAAGACCAGGAGACGGGAGCUGGAGUGCAGUGGCUGUUCACAAGCGUGAAAGCAAAGAUUAAAAAAUUUGUUUUUAUAUUAAAAAAGUUUUUAGAGAUGGGGGUCUCACUUUGUGGCCCAGCCUGCAGUGCAGUGGCGCGAUCAUAGCUCCCUGCUGCCUCGACUUCCUAGGCUCAAGGGACCCUCCUGUCUUGGCCUCUGAGUAGCUGAGACUACAGGUAUGCUCCACCACACCCGGCUAAUUUCUUUACUUUUUUGUAGGGACAGGGUCUCAUCAUUUUGCCCAGGCUGGUCUGGAACUCUUGAGCUCAAGUGAUCCUCCUGCCUUGGCCUCCCAAAGUGCUGGGAUUACAGGCAUGAGCCACCACAGCCAGUCAAGAUUUUUUAACAGGACAGGACUGUCUAACAGGAUUGUCUAAUAGGACAUAAAAUACACUAACUAUAAAGGAAAGUAUUGAUAAAUUGGAUUACAUAAUGAUUGAGAACCUUCUUUUAUCAAAAGACAUUAAAAGUGGGAGAAGAUACUCUAAGAUAGAACAUCCAUGGACUCAUAUCCUGAAUACAUACUACAAAUCAAUAAAAUAUACACAAACAGAUAAAUGGGGCAAGAGAUUCGAAUAGUUACUUCACAAAAGAGAACAUUCAAAUAAUAUUGAAAAGGUGCUCAACCUCUUUAGUCAUCAGGGAAAUGCAAAUUGAAAAAAAUAAAUACUGGCUAGGUGAGGCGACUCACAUCUGUAAUCCCAGCACCUUGGGAGGCUGAGAUGGACAGAUCACUUGAGGCCAGGAGUUUGAGACCAGCCUGGCCAGCAUGGCAAAACCCUGUCUUUACUCAAAGCACAAAAGUUAGCCGGGCAUGUUGGCCCACGCCUGUGGUCCCAGCUACUUGGGAGGCUGAGGCAUGAGAAUCGCUUGAACCCAGGAGGAGGAGGAUGCAGUGAGCUGAGAAUGCACCACUGGACUCCAUCCUGGGCAACAGAACAAGACUUUACCUCCCAAAAAAAAGGUGGAGAGGGGAGGACUACUGCACUCUACCAGGAUAGCGAAAAUAAAAAUGACUUGACAAUACCAAGUUUUGGGAAAGAUAGAAGCUUGAACUGUCUGACACUACUGAAGGAGCAUACAUUGGUACAACUACUUUGGAAACCUAUUUGGCAGUAUCUGCCUGUGACCGUGAAAUUCCACUCUUUAUUUGGGAAUAUACCCUCCUAAAAUAAUGCGUAUGAGCAACAUGAAGACAUGUACAACAGUGCUCCUGGCAGCAGUAUUUGCAACAGACAAAAAUUGGAAACAACUGAAAGGUCAUCAACAGUGGAUGGAUACGCUGGGUGUGGUGGCUCAUGCCUGUAAUCCCAGCACUUUGGGAGGCCAAGGAGGGUGGAUCACCCGAAGUCAGGAGUUUAAGACCAGCCUGGCCAACAAGGAGAAACCUUGUCUCUACUAAAAAUACAAAAAUUAGCUGGGUGUGGUGGCGCACGCCUGUAAUCCCAGCUACUCAGGAGGCUGAGACAGAAUUACUUGACCCCUCAUCCUGGGGUUGGCCUUAUGCAUGUGCAGCUUAUGGCUCAGCACAUAUGCCAAAGACACGGUGCCAGCACUUUUUUUUUUUUUUUUGAGUUGGGGUCUCACUCUCACCCAGGCUGGAGUGCAGUGGUGCAAUUGCUCCUGAGCAUAAGUGAUUCUUCCACCUCAGCCUCCCGAGUAGCUAGGACUACAGGUGUGGGCCACCACGCCCAGCUAAUUUUUGUAUUUUUUGUAGGGAUGGGGUCUUCCUAUGCUGUCCAGGUUGGUCUCAAACUCCUGGGCUCAAGCGAUUUUCCCUCUACGGCCUCCCAAAGUGCUAGGAUUACAGGUGUGAGCCACCUGCACACUUACACACCCAUUCCUAGCUGCAGCUUCAGAAACUUCUGACCCAGGAAGUCAGCCCAAACCCCCUCACUGUCCCCCAAAAUUUGAGUUCUUCUCAACUCUACCCAAACACUCCCCUUUCUUGGGGUGGCUUAAUGCUCUGUCUCAUUGCCCUUCCUACUGCCUACCCACAUAUCACAUCUACCAACCUUCCACGCAGCCAUAGACGUGUUCUAUCAAAGACAGUUCCCUCCCCAAGAGGACUUCUCUGACUAAUCAUAAUCUGCCUUUGGUUGUAAUUUUGUGUUGUGAGGCCACCACAAGGGUGUUUGCUGAAGAGGUCCUGGAGUCCCCUCAGAGCACGCUUGCUACCAGGAGUCAGCAUGUAUGUAACUUCAUCAGCUGGGGCUUCUGCUUCUCUUACAAACAGGUGCCAGGGCCCACCUUGGGCACUCCUGCAGAAGUGAGCAGAGGCUUCUGCCAUGGGGCCAUACCUUGUUUGACCUAGGUGCCAGCACUGGGACAGAUGGCACAGCACAGUCCUGCCGUUCCCACAGGGUUUGUGUGUGCAUCAUGACAGGAAACACAGCAAGUCACAAAGGCUGUCCGAUGUCCCUGCCUCAGCUUCCUGAGGACCUGUGCUUUUUACUGAAAUACACUAUCUCAUAAGAAUACUUCCCUGCCUUCCGCACCCCAGUGAGAAAGGAGUUGUGACUGGAAGUCAGUGUCAUUGACUUUGGAUAUGAAAAGGAGGCAGAAUGUCUCCAGGGUUAAAAGUAGUAACCAGGCCAGGCGUGGUGGCUUAUGCGUGUAAUCCCAGCAUUUUGGGAGGCGGAGGUGAGUGGGUCACCUGAGGUCAGGAGUUCAAGACCAGCCGGGCCAACAUGGCGAAAUCCCAUCUGUACUGAAAAUACAGGAAUUAGCCGGGUGUGGUGGCAGGCGCCUGUAAUACCAGCUACUGGGGAGGCUGAGGCAGGAAGAAUUGCUUGAACCCAGGAGGUUAAGGGUUGCAGUGAGCCAAGAUCACACCACUGCACUCCAGCCUGGGUGACAGAACACGAUUCCAUCUGAAAAAAAAAAAAAAAAAAAAAAGCGGGGGCUGGGCGCGGUGGCUCACACCUGUAAUCCCAGCACUUUGGGAGCCUGAGACAGGUGGAUCGUCUGAGAUCAGGAGUUCGAGACCAGCCUGACCAACAUGGUGAAACCCCGUCUCUACUAAAAAUACAAAAAUUAGCUGGAUGUGGUGGUGGGCACCUGUAAUCCCAGCUAUUCGGGAAGCUGAGGCAGAGGAAUCAUCGCUUGAACCUGGGAGGUAGAGGUUGCAGUGAGCCGAGAUCACACCAUUGCAUUCCAGCCUGGGUGACAAGAGCAAAACUCCGUCUCAAAAAGAAAAAAAAAAAAAGUUAGUAACCAGGUUGUGUCCCACAGAGCUUUACUGGGGGCCAAACACUGUCAACCCCUCCUCAGGUCCCAGUGAGUUUGUGCACCUGGCCUUCUGACAGUAAGCGGUGAGCAGGGCAUCCCCCACCAGGACCCCAUACUUUCCUCCCAUGGGUUUCCUAUGGAAUGUUGCUGCUUCAACUUCUGAGAGCCUCUUGCUGGGGGGCCCCAUCCCUAGCCCUUGCCUCCCUGUGCUGCUUUACCUUCUUUUUGGGAGGAUAACUGCCCUCUGUUUUCAGCACCCCAAUAAGAAAGAAAAAGUCAUGACCAGAAGUCAGUGUCAGUGAUUGCUGAUGUGUGGAAACAUCUGAUGAAUGAAGAGUUUGGGUAAAAAAUAAAGGGAACUGAUGAAAAC